GGUAAUUUGGAGUCUACUUGGGCAGUUUACGAACGGAGUUUUGAAAUACAAAUAGCCUCACCACAAAUAAUAAUCAAUUAUACAAACUUUCUGGAGGUAUGGAGCAUCAUUCCUAUUUUAGUACACUAUCUGUACUGGAUUUUACUUCUGCUGGUUUUGGCUCAUUGACAUAUUGUUAAUUGAUUUUGAUUUAUACAGGAGAACAACUUCUUUGAAGAUGCUUUUAAGGUUUAUGAAAUAGGAGUGAAGAUAUUUAAGUACCCACAUGCUAGAGAUAUUUGGGUUAUAUAUCUGUCUAAAUUUGUGAAGAGAUUAUGGAAAGGAAAAAUUGAAGAGAGCGAGAGAGCUGUUUGAGAACGCAAUUGAAAUGGUGAAGUAAUAAGUGUUGCACCUAUUCUGUUGUCAAUAAAAGUGUUGUAGUAUGGUAAUAAAGGUACUGAUACAUGUGGCCAGCAAAAUCUGUCGGUAUCACACUCAAAUCAUCAUUGAGUCAAUGCUCUGUUACCAUGACUAUUAGGCGGAAACUCCAUUGUUCUUAAACCUCCAACACAGGGUGUUGUUGUUGCACUACAUAUGAUGCAUUGCUUUCAUUUGGCUGGCUUCCCUAAAGGUCUUAUUAGUUGUGUGACAGGAAAGGGUUCUGAGAAUGGUGACUUUCUUACGAUGCAUCCGGGUGUGAAUUGCAUAAGUUUCACAUGCGGUGACACUGGAAUAGCAAUAUCAAAAAAGUCUGCAAUGAUUCCUCUACAAAUGGAGCUGGGUCGAAAAGAUGCUUGCAUUGUUCUUGAAGCCGCUGACUUGGAUUUGGUAGCUGCUAACAUUGUGAAAUAAGGGUUCUCCUACAGUAAGGUUGACUAAAUCACUUUAUAGUCUAAAGAGCUAAGGAGAUAACAAUAUGCACUUGGAUGAUUUUAGACUACUUCUAGGGUAUACAAAUACUAAAAUUGUGGCCUGCAAGAAUCCAUGAAACAAAGCAUCCUCAUUAUGCUGAAGAAUUUCUAAGAUUCCCUGGUAAAGAGUCUAACAGAAAUUUGGACUCAACUUUGUCUGGUUGCUCCAUCUAUGUUGCUCCAAGCAUUUCAUCCGAAUUGCAGAACAAGUUGGGUUAGCAUAUGCAGCGUAGGCGUAUCCUGAUCUUUUUUCCCACCUUUGCUUGGCCUUAAUUAAGUCGGCUUGAUUGGUUGGAGUUUAGUUAAGUCGGAUUCAUAUUUCUGGAAUUGUUGUCGGGGGUUUCUGAGUUGGCUUUGGCGUUGUGUGGAUCUAGCUGGUGCGGUUUCAGUGAGUUUGCUUUGCGCUGAAAGUUAUUAGCAAUGCCAGAGGAGUUUAGGAUCAUCCAACCUCUCUCAAUUUUCAUGGUGUUCUCAUGUGUUCCAUCUAAAGUGUGUGGACCAGUGGCUGAAAAUUAUAUCUUGCUGCCCACUUUGCAAACAAGGAUUAGAGAGGUAGAAGAAGUAGCUAAAACAAACAAGGAUUAGAGAGGUAGAAGAAGUAGCUAAGAUAAUAGACGUAUACUCAUAUACUAAUUCGGUCAUAUACUCAUCAUAUGCAUGUUCUUUUUUUUUUUCAUUUUGAA